GAGUGUGGAGCCUUGCCUGGGGAUUUUUCUUCCCUAUCUUCACCACUGAGUCAUUUAGCUGGCUUUUGGGAUGGAGCUGUUCCUCUGCUCAAGACAAAUUAAAUUGAGUGUGAAUCCCACUCCUCUGUGGCUUACAGAAAACAAAAGGAGCAGGAUACGUAACUAUAAUGGUUUAAUGCUUGCCCUUUCUUGCUUGUCCUUUGUUUCCUCUGAAGACUUCCUCGUGCGUGUGGAAAAGAGACCGAGGCAGGCUCAAUUUUAUCACAGAAUCAUAGGCACUGGAAGGGACCUCUGAACAUCAUCUGCUAAACACAGUGCAUCUGUUUGGUCACAGGUCAGCUGUGUCUCUGCACGUGUGGGAUCAUGGAAGCUGGAGAGGUGGUGGCACCCUGUUGGGCACAGUGACUGAAAAGCGUGAGGGGUUGGCCUGAGUACCAUCUUUCAUGCUUGAAAUGGUCGUCUGGAAAGACCCUCAGGCCUUAUGUCCUUAGUGAGGCAAUUGGUGAAGGCCAGAUUUUGCUCUGGCUGAAUUCAUGCAAGUCUACUGAUUUCAAAAGAGGCAUGUGCAGAACUAGUAUCCACAGCCAUAUCAGAUUAAUAUUAGAUGCACAUUGUCUGUUAUAGUAUAUUCAGAAGUUAAUUUCCAUCUGAUUCACACAUUAGAAAAUGCCAGAUUUUGAAUGUUCUCUGAUGGAUUUAAUAACACUUUAUCAUCAUCAAAUGUCUCUCAAAUGCUAAUCAAGGCAGAAGAAAUAAUAAACAUCUCUUCCAAUUAAUCUAUAUGAAAAAAUCUGUUCAAUCAAUAAAACUGAAAAAGAAUCUAAUAAUGUGGGAUGAAUCAAGAAGAGUGAGGCUUUUCACCUCAAUAUCACUGGCUAAUAUGGUCAUAGAAUCACAGGAUAUCCCUAGCUAGAAAGGACCCACAAGGUCCAUUGAGUCCAACUCCUGGCUUCACACAGGACCACCCAAAAUCCAAACCCCAUGUCUGAAAGCAAUGUCCAAAUGCUCCUUGAACAUCAACGUCUUGAGGCCAUGCCCACUG